rnacentral:rRNA from 2 species
AGAAUCAACGCUGGCGGCGUGCCUCAGACAUGCAAGUCGAACGCGAAAGUCCCCUUCGGGGGGCAAGUAGAGUGGCGCACGGGUGAGUAACACGUAGGUAAUCUACCUUUGGAUGGGGAAUAACAACCGGAAACGGUUGCUAAUACCGCAUAAUGCAGCGGCACCUAAUGGUGACAGUUGUUAAAGCGGGGGAUCGAAAGACCUCGCGUCUGAAGAGGAGCCUGCGGCGGAUUAGCUAGUUGGUAAGGUAAUGGCUUACCAAGGCUACGAUCC